AUGGACGGAGAGUGGCUGCAGUACAAUAGUGGUGUGCACAAUGAGUUUGACCUCUUCAUGACAAGCAAACACAACCACCUAUUCCAGGACAACCAUAGUGAUGAGAUGGAUGGCCUGCUUGAAGCCACUACUGUUGUGGGCAACACUGAUGAUGCCAACGUUGUUGCUGUAGACCAUGACAACAAUGAUAGAGAGACAGAUAAUGAGAAACUCCGGAAGGACCUUAGUGAGAGGCUUGGCAUGAGUGCCCAGCAGGUCAAGUUUUGGUUCCAAAACAAACACACCUGCAGUAAGGGCAAGAUGCAGCGUCGGGAGACCCAAAAUUGUUGGGUAGAAAAUGAGAGGCUGAAGACUGAACGUCAAGCCAUCAUGUUGGCUAUGCAAAACAAGACUUGCCUCAAAUGCAGAGGGGUUAUGGUACAAACUCAGGAUACCUCAGAGCACCAACGCCUAUAUACCGAGAAUAUGAGGCUCAAGGAAGAACUCCUACAUGCCACUGCCUAUCUUAAAGAAGGUCUUCGUCGAAAUGGCAUGUCGCUCCCAUAG
rnacentral:rRNA from 1 species